rnacentral:piRNA from 1 species
UUAAUCUGCUGUGUUCUCCCUGAAGGUU